rnacentral:misc_RNA from 1 species
CAAGUCUUCCCGCAAUGAUACAAUAGGUUAAUAUAAUUGUAAUCCAUAAGACGCACGAUCAUGAAUAGAACUUUUAGCUAACUACAUCAGAUUACAUAGUACUAUUUAUCAACAAGAUGGAGGAAUCCAGUGAUCGCCCUGAAUGAAAUUUUGUAAAGAGUAUGAGCCAACAUGUUCAGCUGGGAUUUGGCUACUCCAUGGAACCCGUCCUGUUGUAUUAGCUCCAGGACCAGUACUUUUGAAUUCUCCAUAGUAAAGAGUACUCAGAGCAAAAUUGUCACUCCAAGGCAUCCAUCCAUCAGUACUAACAAGAGCUUCCAAUGUACAAUGUAUAAAGACUGUCCUGGAAUACUCCUUCCAUGGCCUUCCGAGGAAAUUUUUAUGUACUUUAGGCUUGCUGUAGUAUAAGGUCAUGUAGUCUGCAGUUCCAUUUAUUAAACAGUUUUGGAAGACAAAGCCAGUUGAUUGCGCUGGGUCUAUCCUUCCAUGAGCUGUCACAGCAUUGUUCUCACCCUUCUCUGGAUUUAGUUGCCGAGGUGCAACAAGGAUGUCACAGUCUUGGAAGAUGGUAGCUGAGUUCCCGAAAAUGAAGUCUACAUUGCCUUGGAUGCGGCAUGACUUGUAGUAUUGGCGCAUAGAAUGGGCGUACAGGGUAUCCUGAUUGCCAAGAAAUUCACAAUUCUCAAUGAUGGAGAGAUCACUAUCGGAUCGGAAUGCUACAGCUUGGUGAGUAUCUGGACCUGCUGUAUUCUGG